GGUGGGAGGGUGGAUAGUUCAUUUGCCCUCAUCUAUUUCAGGUGUGGAGCCAAUUAGCAGCCAUUUGCAGGAUGGCUGUGUUAGAGCUGCUGCUUUCUUCUAAACUCUGGAACGGUUUUGUUCUCUGGUUAGCAUUUAGUGAGACGGGAAUCUACGUUUCUCUUCGCCCUCUGCAUUAGGUUUCCUUGUUUACUCGGUAAUGUGGUACAUACUUCUGUUUCCAUCCCACGGAGUUGAGCUGUUCGGUGAUGUUUGCCGUUAUCUGUGAUUUUGGUGGCGUUCCUGAUGGGCUUUUACACGAUGUGCCCAUCCUGAAGGUGUUGUGGGUGUCUUAUUUAAAAACAAAACAAAAUCUACAACUUCUCAGAUGCUCACAGACUUUCUGAGGUUAAAUACUUCAGUAGUAUUCAGUACUUCAGUGUUGGUAAAUCUUUCAGAUGGUGCUGUGAAUGAUCACCUGUACAUCCUGGAGUAGUCAGAGCAUUAAAGACAAACAUUUCAUGUAUGGUUUUUGAAAAUUGGAACCGUAUAAAUCCAAAAUGGAAAAGGUCUUCUAGAGGUGGUCCCAGCAGAGGUCAAAGAUCUCUAUUAAGUGCUUUGGGAUGGGUUUUAUGCGCACUGAGGUUUGUUUUGAGUCACAGGAGCUCUGGAAGGCAAUCCUCCCUGUACGUGGCAGAGGGGUUGGUGCCUGGCUGUGCCGCUGCCCCUCAACAAAGUGUUUCUGGGCUGCGGGAAAUGCCAGUGUGGCAGUUUCAUACCAAGGCGUUUGAUCCUAUCUUCAAUCAAAGGCUUUUCCAAUCCAAGGCACUGAGAUCUCCAGGACUGUUUAUCCAACUGCUGUCCCUUUGGUGGGGAGCAGAUGCUCCAUUGAUGAACUUCUGUAAAUUCUGGAGCAAACUUGGGAUUCCUCAGAGAUGCAAAAUAUUCACUAUUGCCUCAAGUGGUGAUGUAGAACAUCCAUCCUGUGGUUCUCUGCGUUUUCCUGCAGAUGUACCCACUGCUGUCCUGCAGUAGGGGGCAGCUCCCUGCUGGUGGGCAUUGCGAGCAUCCCGGCAGAACGAGGAGAGCCAGAAACGAGAGUGCUGCAGGCUGGGUGCGCCAUAGUGCUGCUACACUGGGGUUCUCUUGAAAUUCCUUCCCUUUAAUUGCUGUGCUUAUUAAAAAAUAGCAAUUUUCAGUAAGCUUCUGUAAAAACUGUGGAAGCAUAUUUGUUCAAAUGUUUUUUUAAAAAUAAUAAGCUCUCAAAAUUAGAGCUCCUACAGCAAAGGUAUCCUCAGUGCGAUACCUCAGGUCUGUCAGUACUGGUAUCAAUUGUUAGACUUUACAUUUAAUUCUAAGCAGGUUAAUAAAAUACAUUAAUU
ensembl:lncRNA